UUGGAAAUCCACAGAUUGCCGGCCUGACCCUCCUGCAUUUCUUGGGUGCGCACCCUCAGGCGGGCCUGCUGCACUUAUCCAACAGAAGAGAUGGGCCACUGGCCUCCUUGAGGUGCUGUUCAGCAAGAACAGCCCAUUCAUUAUCACCUUCACUGCAAAGCUCCAAUUUCGCCAAUGCCUUGCAUACAUGUGGAUUCUUUCAUGGGGUUUAAGGCCAAUUCCGGAGCUUUAUUAUCUUGCUUUGCCAGCAUAUUGCAUCAUGGCCGGCUCACAUUUCUUGCCCAAUGUGAGCAAAACUAAAACCAUUCAGUUUUCCUCUUAAAUUCAUACAUAGCAUUAGUAGUACUACUUCACCAACCUUUGUUUUAUUAUCAUUGACGCAGGUCCAAGACCCAGCUGUGUUGAUACCGAUAUCCCUCUUUGUCAGUUACAAUUUUCACACUCUAUUGGAAUACUGGGGGGCUGGAUAUUCAAUCCGAGCAUGCUGGAACAACUUGAGGAUGUGGAGAAUAACCGCAGUGACCGCAUGGUUAUUUGGAUUUUUAAGCGUCAUUCUGAAGCUCCUGGGGUUAUCGGAGACCGUCUUUGAAGUUACAAAAAAAGACCAAUCCACUACUCCUGGGGAGGGCAGUGACAAGGAUGCUGGUCGGUUCACCUUUGAUGGGUCUCUGAUUUUUGUUCCGGCCACUACUCUUCUGUUGGUGCACCUGAUGGCACUUGUAACAGCCUUGUUAGGACUAUUUGAUCAUGUCGAGAUUGAAUCAAGAAUAGGGGAGAUAAUAUGUAGUGUGUGGGUGGUGCUAUGCUUCUCGCCGUUUCUUAAAGGCUUGUUUGGGAAAGGAAAAUAUGGGAUACCCAAAUCCACUAUAUGCAAGUCAGCAGCUUUGGCGUUUCUUUUUUUUGCUUGCACUAUUACAGUAAGAAAAUGACAUUAGUAAAAACUAAAAACCGUAACAAUUUAUUAAGCAUAAUUGUUAGUCAAGUGUGUUAUGACAUGUAUUAUCCGGUUCAAUGUACGAACAAAUUAAUUUAUGCAAUUUUAAUGGCAGUUUGCUUUUCACCAUUGCCGUAGCGGCAGUACCUCCAUGAAUUGAAAUGAAGUAAUGAUCACAACCAUGAGUUUAAAGUACUAAUGAUUAGUGGAAAAAAGAUGAGACAAAAGAAAAUUAUCAUAUAUUCUCUUCAUUCUCCACUCAUUAAUAUAUAUGAAUAGGAAAGAUCUCAUGUUCCCUACAUAAGAAAAAAAAAAAAAGGAUUAAUUUCAAGAAUAUAUUGAUUAAACCGAGGAAAAUAAAACACAUAAAAUAGAAAAUUAAGUGAUUUAAAUUCAAAAGAUCAAGUCAAAAUAGAAAACAAUCUUAGAAAAGUAAAGUUGCUUGUUGAAAAUUAGGUUAUCUUUCUUGAUUAAUUUGCUUAGUUUUUGGAGGUAUGCUACUAGGACUCUUUCCUUUCUUCGUCUUAAUAUGAGACCUAUUACCUUUCUUAAUAUCCAAAAUUUGAUUUUAAGGUAAUUUGACCUACUCAUUAGAUUAUUAACAUGUGACUGAAUUUUUCAAAGAGCCUACUACUACAACACUUACUAGCAUUAUGUCUUGACCUCUUACAUGUAGUGCACUUAGGGUCUUGCUUAGAGUUAGAUUUCCCAUAAGAGGAACAACCUACCUAUGUUUUUAUAAAAGUAGUAUUUUCACUUGUGGGAGUUUCACAUAUAAUUAUAUAUCAUAAACCUCUCUUGCCUAUAAACAUUCCCAUUUUGAAUCAUUUCAUUAAAAUUUUAGGGUGAGGAUAAAAAAAUUUAUCAUGUCAACUUUCGAAGAUCUUUUUCCUAUGGUCUAACUUUGAGGUUAAGGAUUUAUUCUUUUCAAGUACAAUGUGAUAUUCAAAAUAAGGAACCUAAUUUUUCCUUAGCAAAUUGUAAUGUUCACAAGUUGUGUCCCUAAUCUUAUUACCCAAAUUAGUUUUUUUAAGACUCAUAGGAACUUAAUUUUUCAUUCAAUUCAUUUUUCUCAUAUUCAAGAUAUUUAAUGUGAGAAAUCUUUUUGUUUAAAAUAAUUUUAAGCUUAACUAUAACACCUUAAACCCGGAGGCCAAGGGCCCUACAGUCAUUCCUUAUCAAAUUGAAACCAAAACUAAAAUAAAAUAUCUAGCCAUAAAUUCAAUAAUUUUCUUGAACACUUAAAUCAAAAUUCUAAAAAUUAAUAAUGAAUUCAAUCUUAAGUAAACAAUCCCAUAAAAAAAUUGAAAAGAAAAAAAUCAAUUCCAAAGUAGUUUAUAAUAGAAGCAUGUUUCCUAUCUUGAUUUUUCUUCUUUGAUGUCACUUGUACUUGAAAAGGGGAAUAAUAGAAAAGGGUGAACUUGAAAGCUCAGUAUAAAAAAUAAUUUAAUAAGAAUGAUUAAUAUAGUAUAAAAUUAAACACUGAGAGAUAUCAUUUUUUUUUUUUACGAAAAUCAAUUAGUGAGUAAUCUCUUUUAAUUCAAUAGUUUAGUUCACUUUCUUUGAAAAAUUUAACACUUUCUAUUGAAAGAUUAAACAACAUAAUGCACUUUGCAUAAUAAUUCAUAUAAAAAAGAAUUUCACAAAGAAACAUUUUACUCUAAUCCACUCACAAUAAUACCAUGCCCAAAUAGUUGAAUUUGUAUUAGGUGGCUAGCCUCAAAAUGUUAUUAGUGAAUGGAACGGAUUCCAAUCCAUAAUAUACCGAAGGCCAAUAACACCCCUAUUAGCUAGGGUUGUGUUGUAUUGUUACCCUCACUAAGGGUAAUAAAGGUCAACAACUUAUCCCCUAUUGACUAGAGCCACUUAGAGUUUCUAAAAUCAUUUUAAUUAAUUAGAAAAAAGUAAAAUUCACUUACAUAAUAAUCAAACAAAUCACAUGAUGUUACUAAUUUAUUUUAUGAACAAAACACAACAUAUUUCAAAAAAAUAUUACCUAAUCCACUUUACGAAAUUUAAACAAUUUUGAUACUUUACUAAAUAGAGGAAGACAAAUAAAAAGGUAGAAAAUAACUCACUACACUAUUAACCCUUACCUUGAAGAAGCCACUUAAAUUCUUGAAAAAAUUAAUCCACACCUUUAAAUUAUAGAACGAAGCAAUAUGAAGCAAAUACUAAAACUUCUUCUUUCUAACUCUUCGAAUCAAAGUUCUCCGGAGACUUUUUUUUCUUCUUUAUUUUGUGUUUUCAAUUUUUUGAUAAUAUGAAUAAUUCAUAACAAAAUAAAGUUGGUAGGAAAUUAAAGGGAGCAAAAAUAUCUCACUUAAUUUGUUUUUCAAUGUUUGAAAAUAUAUAAAUAUCCCUAAAUAAGGUAAAUCUUUUUAAAUAUUUAAGUUACACAAAUAUCCCUAAAUUCUCCUUCCUAAUCACUAGAUUCAAUAGAACUAAUUUUAGUACCUGAGGAUGGUGAAACAGUGAAGGCAAUAAGGUUAUCAUUGUCUUUUUUUGUUGAUCUUCAUGUAAUGAUUCCUAGUGAAGAAAUUAAAGAAAAACGAAAAAAAACACACACAGAUUUAAUGUGGUUAAGUAGAUUGCCUACGUCCAUAGGAACAAAGAAAAAGACUUUCACUAUAUUUCAAUUAAUGUUACAUAAAAGGGUAUUUAUACUAACCCUCGGGUAUUGAAAUUCCAAAAAUACCCUUGAACCAUACCACGGGGAGGCAUUGUCCCCCAUACCCCCCCAACCUAUCGUUCGCCCUUAACAAUAAAAAUAUAAAAUUAAAUGGCAAAUGUCAUCGUUCCACUUCGACAUUUGCCCAUUUUUCUCCAUAUGUCUUUUACUCAAUAUGAGCCGCAUACUACAACAUCAUUGUCAAUUGAGCCUAUCAACUUAUUAAUGUCAUUAGACUCAGAAUUGCCCCAAGUCACUGUUGUUAUUUAUUUAUUUAUUUUUUCAAUUAUCAUUAUUAUUAUUCUCUUUGGGAGUAAGACAAUUAGUAGCAAAAUUUUUUUUUUUUUUUUUUUUUUACAGAAUUGAAAAAUUCAACUUAUGGUGAUUUGGAUGAACUUUUUAUUUUUUAUUUUAAAAUUUUGUAGAAGGAUUUCUUGUUUUUCUCUAAGUUUUAUUUCAAGUUUGCUUUUCUUUAUUCUUAAAAGUUUGAAUUUUUUUAACAAAUGCCAAAAUAUCUUAUGGAGUGAGAAUAGGUUCACGCCUAUCAAGCUCAUUCUUUUCUUUCAAAGAGGCUUUAGGGUUACCCUUUUAGGUCUCCUUGGAGAUGGCAAAGUCAUCUUAUAGGUUCGUGAAGAAUCUACAAGUUCAUAUACUUUCAACAUGUCUACAUUUUUACUUUCCUUUAUUGCGACCAUUUUAUAUAUAUCUAGAUCCCGUAUAAAUCUCUCAAAGAGAGAUCUCAAUAUCUUUUUAACCAUUUUAGAGUUAGAGAUUAUUUCUCCUAGGUUAAAACAUAAAUUAAUAUUUUCACUAGGUUCAAUAUAAAACACAAAGGUGCUUUCAUCAUCUUUCAUUCUAAUACUUUCAAACUUAAGCAUUUAACUUCAACAUGGACUCAUGUGUUACUACUAAGAUGUGCCAAACCUCUUUAGUAUAUUUGCAAGUACUAAUCCUACAAAACAUGUUAAGAUGGACCCUAUUGCAAAUAUAGUAAAGGCUUAAGCAUUCGUCUCACUAUCUUCAGUUUGUGAUCUAUCUUUAGUUUAAGUUCGCCAUAUGAGCUUUUAUUCUUUAGUAGGGGUAACCACCCAAAUUUUAUUGUAUUCCAUAUUUUUUCUUUUUGCAUUCUCAUAAAGAAUUAUAUUCUUACCUUUUAGUCGAGGUAGUUAUUUCCAUCAAAGAAUGGGGGAUGAAUAAUUAAAGUACCCACUUUUUGUGAUUCCAUUAACCAAGAUUAAUUAGUGAGAAUAAAUAAUUUUUUAUUUUUGAAACUUAACCCACUUUAAUAACACUUGAAAAAAAUUGUGUCUUGAUAUAAAAGAAUCUAAAGGGGGGUGAAUGGGUAGUCCACGGAAUAAACCUCAACUUUUAAUUUUCUUUAUCAAUCAUAUAAUUAAUAUUGAGUAAAAGUUAAUGAAUCUCAUGCAAAUGUAAAUUCAAUCACACGAAUGAACACAAAAUCUAACAUUAAAAAAAAAAAAAAAAAAAAAACACUUAGAACCUUAGGUGUAAAAAACUAUGGAUGAUCACUCAGCCAUUAAAUAUAAAACAAAUGGUACAUAUAUAGUUUUACUUGACCGGAUGCACUUAUUUCCUAAGGUUUUAUACCAUUAAUACCUACAGUCAUUUUUUGUGUCCCUGAUGCAACAGUCCCUCAUACUCCCUAAUGGAUCCCUUGAAACCCUUAUCAAAAUUUGCACUAUGUGUGUGUCAAACCUUUGUUGUAGAUGAAAGGUUCUUGUAAGAAAGAUUUUGAAAGGUUUCAAAGAUGGAUGUACAAGCUUUAAUAAUAAUGAUAUUUUUUUAAGGUUUAAGGGUCCACCAAUUUUUAAUAAAACAAAUCUAUGUAUACUUGCAAAACCCUAAUAAUUAAUUAUGGAGAGUUUCUGAAUUUUAAACCACUUUGAAAAUGAGUUUCUAGAGUUAGAAAUGAAGGGAGAGACAAAAAAAAAUCAUCAACAAGAUGUUUGAAUGCUUGUGGGGUGGGGGGGGAGAAAGCUUAAAUGCCCUUGAGAAGCAUUUGAACACCCCUCAGUACAUUUGAAUGCUCACCUUUAAUUAUCUCUUUAUUUUUGCAAUAUUACGAGCUUUUCUCCAUAUGUUUCAUCCCAAUUUCAUAUUUUAGUCAUUCCAUAAGUUUUAUCAACUUUAGAUGCAUACAUAUCUCGAAAAACAUCGGCAUUGAAAAGAUUCAAGGUUAGCCUUGAAGAAGUCUGAAGUUAAAUAGAAGGUGAUAAGACCUAAGGAAAUAUGUCACGUCUAAUCAAUAAGAAAUAUAACAAAAUUGCAAACUAAAUCUAAUACAUCAGCAAAUUCAUAUGAGAAGAAAUCAGUUCACUCUUGUAAUACAAGCUUUGGUGUGUAGUUAAUCCUAUGAGGAUUUUUGAUAUUGUCUUUGAGGAAAGAAAAGUGGCUUUAAAAAUCACCAGUGGGGAUUAAGAUCAAGUGGUAUGUAUGUAUGUAUGUAUGUAUGUAUGUAUGGAGAGAAAGAGAGAGAAAUCAACCUCCUUGUGCAAUUGCAUUUGCCAUAGUUAUUGUUGCAUACCAAAUGUUGUUUCAUGUGGUUCCUCUUUGAAACCAUACAAUCACUACCCACCCAAUUUGAAAUGAAACUCUAUUUUGGUAAUGCUUUAUCUAAGAAUGAAAAUAGUUGACAAGGAGUAGAGCAUGUAAAAACAUUUUCCUAUUUGAUUUAGGUUAAGGGUUAUCAAACACAUCCACCAUUCCUCUCUUCACGCCUAGCUACUUUAUUGAGAAAAUUAAAAAAGAAAGAGUAGGUCCAAGAGAAAAAAUAAGUGUAUUUAACAUCAUCCUAAGUUAUUAAUAUAUAGUCAAUAAAAAAUAUCGAAUUACCUUUAGAGAUGCCUAAGAAUCCCAAUUUGCUUGUUUCACAGACAAGUUUUCUACCCCAAGUCAUGCAUGGGACUAUGAAUGCAAGAACAACUCAAGAUUUUUAUAACACAAGAGCCUUGACCUUUGUUCUCAAGAAGAAAACUAAAAAACUUCAAGAGAGGACAUUUUUGGGGGAAACCUCUAUUCUCUUGUUAAUAAAAAAAAAAACUUUCUUAAUCCAUUUUUCUCAUUAUUAUUAUUCUUUUCCAUAACUUUCGAUAGUUAAAAACUCCCAGAAAAUGCUUCAUCUGCUUUUAAAAAUAUUGGAUGAGGUCGGGUUGAGCUAUAUAUAUAUAUAUAUAUAGACACACACACACGUAUGUAUGUAUGUAUGUAUUGUCCAAACUCAUGGAAAGACCAAUGUCUGACAUACAUUUUAUUAGGUUAUUCCUUUCUCCAAAUAGACAUUAAUAAAUUAAUUUCUGAUUAUGCAUCAAUAUCAGUCUAUAUACCAUGUGCCAUUGAGCCUGUUAGAGAAUUAAAUUCAAUAAAUUUAGAACCGAAAGCAUUGUUUGUCAAAGAUGGAUGGUGGAUGAUGGCCCGGAAUAUUUUCCUUUUGAUCUAUGAAUGGAUGGACGAGAAACUCUUCAUGAAUGAAUCCACCUUUGAGAAGGAAUGAUGUGGACAUAUUAGAACGUUAAAGAUGGUGUGGCUUUCAGUGAAACUUGGAGUGUUGAUCAACUUAGAAAAUUGAUUGGAUGAAAUUUAACUGAAACUCCUUUGAAAUCGACUGUGGUUCAGAAUAAAUUAUUUCCUUUGCUUUAAUUUGCUUCAAAAUGGACACCCUUCCCUACUAAGAGGUUCCUGUUGAAUAGAAGUUGACGCAACUUGUGACAUAUGAAGGAAAGAGUUGAGAAACUGGAAUCAUACCUUGUGAUUGAACUAAAGAUUGUUGCCCAACUCCAAUUGCUCAAAAGGACAGAGUUGGGCCCAUUUUGAUAAAAGUAACCAUAUCCAUCAAGUCAUUGAAAAAGCAAUUCACAUCUAUCUUUGAAGUCGAUCACACUCUACAAAGAGAGUAGAGGUCCCCACCAACCUAUAGAGUUGAACCAUUAAAGUUUGUUGGCAUAAUAGAAUUAUUUUAUCCCAAAUUCUUCAUUAAAGGUUGCUUGAAUAAGAAGAUAUGUGAACUCACAUUUUUCACGUGCGUUCCCACUCAAUUGGCCAGACUCGUUUUUAUUUGUGAAGAAUUAGUUUAGAAAAGUUGGAGUCGCCGCUUAUUUUAUUUUUAUUUUAAAGGGAAAAUAAAACAAGAAAGAAAACCCUAAAGAAGUGAUUUCAUAGUUUUUGAAAAUGCGUGUCUUUGAAAAACUCGAGUCUAGGUCCGGGGAUCAAGUUAUCUAUUGGGAAUGUACCUCUAAAAAGUAGCACCCUUUUAAGCCCUAAAGAGGUCUCUAUUGACCUAGUUGAGGGAAAUUGGGCAAUUAAUUGGUUGAUUAUAGAUACCUAGGUAGGCUAAGGUGAUUUCGAGAUUUUAUCAAUACUAGCAUGUCAAAUAAGAAAUCAAAUUACAAUCAUAAAGAAGAGUUAGGGUGUAUACCUGAACUGCUUCUUACCUGCUACCAUAAGACAAUCAAAGUUAAUUUGAAUAGUAUAUCAUUCAACAUGCGUUUUAUUAGAGAUAAUCAAACAAGUAUCAAGGCAAUCAAGGAUAGCAUUCAAACAUGGAUAUAGCUCAUGAUAACGUGCAUUUUCAUAGAAUUUUGGAAUUAGAGGAUAGAGAGCUUACCUGGAUAGAAAGUAUAUUUUAUAAGAUUCCUCCAAAAAUGCUAGAGUGGUUAGGGCAAGCAUAAAUUAUAUAAAAUAUUCAUUAUGUCUAAUAUACAAUGUCAAAGCCAAAAUUGAGCUAAGAUAAAUCAAAUGACUCCAAAAAUAAUAACAAUUUCAAGUAUAAAACCAUCAACAUGCAGUUAGAAAAAGUGACAUGCAUAAACGAAUUUUUUAAAAAUAAUAAAUGAUCACAUAAAAACUGAAUUCAAGGUAAGAUAGUACUCAAAAAUAUUUUUAAAACACUCCAAUUAAUUAGAUGUCCAAAAUCUAGCAUACACAGUAGGUACGACUUUGAAAAAUCAUAUCUCCCUCAAAAAGGCAUAUUUUUUUUAAUAUUUUAUGUGUCUAAUAUCAAUUUCAAGAAGCGUAUAAUUGAGGAAAAAUAUUGAAUCAAAUUUAAAAAGUUGUCUGGUAUUUAAUUUUUGCAAAAAGAUCUCGGGUUUUUAGAACUGGGUGAAAACGGAGCCCCCCUAAAGACUCGUUUAUAUCUUCUAUUCUAGAAUGGUUUUCUAACUCAAAUGAAACUUAAAAUUCAAGUUCAAGGAGUGAGGAAAGUCAUACAAGUUUUGAAUUUUUUUUAAAGCAUUUUGAAGUUGUUGAAACGAAUUUUAAAGCUAAAAGGUCAGUGAUUGAGUUAAAACUGGCAACAACGAAGAAUUUUUGAGAAAAAAGAAAAGAAAAAAAUCUCUUAUGUAGGGGUUCCAUCUGCUGCUCCAUAUGCUAGUAGAUCAGAACUCUUGUUCCCAAACUUUCAAACUGUAACAGAAGCUUUGCAUUGGUCAAAGAUGCAAUGCAUUCCUACAAAGGAAUAUGCAGGUUCAAUCUUUUGAACUGGGGGAUCGUUGUCACUUGCACUUGAGCUGAAACUGGUUCUGUGACUUGAAGCUUGAUAGCCACUUCGUGGGUCCCUGCUGGAACUCCAACUGUCCACCUCAAUGACAGAUACUGAAGGAAUGGCACCAACUAGAAGCCUUUUCUCGAAUUCGUUUUCUGUUACAACAUCCUUGAGUGACUUCUUCAAGCCCUUAGAUUAUUUUGAAUAGUCUGAAGAGUUCCGAUUCCACAUUCAAAGCUUUCACUGGUCAAAACCAGCCUUGUACUAGCAUCAUCUUCAGCUUUAGGAAUUACACACCUAAAAAAGGUGGCCAUGAAGGAAUGGAGUCCGGGAGAAGAUGCAGUUUCUGCAAAAGGAGUUUGUGGGUUCCAAAUGCUUGGUUUGAAGAGUUUGGUCACAACUCGAUCGUGCAUGUGUCUUCUUCUGCAGAUCCACUUGCGCAUGAACUCAAUCAAAGGCCAAUUUAGAAAGUUUCUUUGGUUUCAGAUUUGCUUAUUUCCAGGAAAUCUGGAAAGUGAGCACUGCGUCAUUUGCGAGAUAGCAGGAUUUUGCAUAAUCUGACCUAGUGAAUCAGUAUCGGAUAUCAUCUGUUAUCAUAAGCAAGAGUAAACCUGAAUGCAUCUGAGCCUGGAAGGCACUCCGGGGUAGCUUUGAGGGCAAUAUACCAGGGUCUAAAGGCAGGAGGCAAUCGACAACCACUUUCUAUUUCAAACUUAUCGCAUCCUGAGGUGCAUUUUCCAGCGUCUUAACUCUCUGUGUCAAACGUCCUCUGACUUCAUGAAUGUCUUGCUCUGACCAAUCUUCGAACCAAGAUCAAUUUCAUUGGUGAUCUUCGUGCCAAGUGAGGAUCUUCAAGGACAUGCCGGAUUAUAGUAGCAGCAACAUUGUCAAACCCAGAAAGGGGGCUCUUGUUGGCAAAGGCAAAAGCAUGGGUAAGCCUCCGUCAUCAAGAAAAUUAAAAGGGAUGGAAUGAGUUCUGGUAAGGGUAGUGUACAGCUGUAGGAUAGCAUGCAUUGUUUCAGAUGGAAGUCGGUUCCUGGUAUAAAUACAAACAAUCUCAAUAAGUCUCUUCUGCUCACUCAUAUCUAUAUGCUUUGGAGGUAAUUACAAUGCGGACUGCAAUCGUUCUGCUCAUCAUCAUCAAUGGUUAUGGACGUGCCUACUGACAUUAUACUUCUUCAAUUGUUCUGCAAGAUCGGGAUUCAAUUUUUGAUCCACUUGUAGCGGCCAGAUGGCGAAGAAGGUUGCUGUUACCCAAUUUGGAACUUGGGAUUUCUCGUUGUCACACGCACCAGAAUCUUAUCGUGAAAGUGAAUGUUUCCACUCUCCGACGUGAAGCUUCAAAGAUUUAUCUGGAAUAUGAAAAUUGCCCCCCAUAAACAGAUAAUACUACAGAUUCAGCGGUGUCAUCGAGCCCACAGGCAGUUUCUGUCGCGAAGAUGUAAGUUCUAGACGAUCGCACAUCUUCCAGUGCCGACCCUUCUCCUACACAACCAAAGUGGUGUCUCCAACAGAAACACUUUUAUUAGCACACGCCCCCAAGUUCCUAUGGAACUGUGAUUGCUGUCAUAUCUUGAACUCUCUUAGCCUAUUGAGAUGCUAUAAUUAAACAGCAUAUGCACCAUGAGCACACAAAGAGAAAUCUUGAAGAACCUCACGAAAGCCAAUUCCCCCAACCAUUCCAGCAACAAAAACCAGACCAGUAGCUUAAACUUUUGAUUUCCACGGUCCAUCAAACCCAGAAACAACUUGGAGUUCAUGAAAAACAUUUUUUUUAUUAUUAUUACCAUAAGCCCAAGACUACCAGAUAGUUUUCAAAGAAUAAAGGUUGGUAUUUUUUUAUUUUUUUUUUUUUGCAUGAAGGGGGAUUUUAAACAAAAAAAAACAGAGCACGCUCAAGACAAAAAUAAAAAAUAAAAAAUCAAACCUUCAAUCAGGACACCACUUCAUGCCGCCCUCAAUGGGACCAAACGGGUGGGACAAGCAGAGAGCAGUGAUAUGAUGAAUUAAAUAUCAAGCUCAAAAACAACCCAUACAUCUGUUAUCUUCGGGAAAAGUCAAAGAGAGCGUAAAAGAACCAAAACAGAGUAGAUAUGAAAACAGGAUCAAACUCAGGAAAACCACCAUUUGAACUUUAAAGUCCAUGCCAAUCAACAAGUUAAAGUCCAGACAAUCGACAGAAAAUAGAGCGGAGAAAUAAAACAGAAUGAGAAUGUAGAGCCAACAGUGAUCAUACCUCUUCUUCCAAAGAAAAUUAUCCAGAACCAAAAUAAGCCUCCUUUUUUCCUUCGUUCCUCCCUGCUUUCUAUAUCUCUUCCUUUUCUCUCCUGCUAUAUCUCCUUGCUAUCUCCUUUUGCCUAUGAAAACAAUCUCCGAAUCCCCCUAAAACCACCCGCCUGUGUUUUAAUAUCAAUUGGAGUCGUCCAAACUGUGACUCCUCUUCUCUGCCAAAUUCUAUCUCAUCCACCAGAAAAAGUCCUUUUUUUUCUUUCCAAAAAUCAAUCCAUGCAUAUCACAUAAAGAGUCCUACAUUUUCCAAAAUCUUCUCCAUUGGUAGAUUUUCUUAUCACACUUCAAAUUAUUAAAUCGGAUAAAUGAAUAAUAAAUAAAUAAGAGAAUGGUAAAAUAAUAAUAAUAGAUAAAUGAAUAAAUAACAAGAUAAUGAACAAAAUAAAUAAAUAAUAAUAAUGAAUAACUAAAUAAAUAAAAGUGAUUGACAAUAAUAAUAAAAAUAAAACUUCAAUUUAUUAAAUCAAAUAAAUGAAUAAAAAAUAAAUAAAUCAGAGAAUGAUAAAAUAAUAAUAAUAGAUAAAUGAGUAAAUUAACAAGAUAAUGAACAAAAUAAAUAAAAAAUAAUGAAUAACUAAAUAAAUAAAAGUGACUGACAAUAAUAAUAAAAAUAAAACUUCAAAUUAUUAAAUCGGAUAACUGAAUAAAUAAUAAAUAAAUAAAAUAAUAAUAAUAGAUAAAUGAAUAAAUAACAAGAUAAUAAACAAAAUAAAUAAAAAAUAAUGAAUAACUAAAUAAAUAAAAGUGGCUGACAAUAAUAAUAAAAAUAAAACUUCAAAUUAUUAAAUCAGAUAAAUGAAUAAUAAAUAAAUAAAUAAAAUAAUAAAUAAAUCGGAGAAUGAUAAAAUAAUAAUAAUUUAUAAAUGAAUAAAUAAAAAAAUAAUGAACAAAAUAAAUAAAAAAUAAUGAUUAACUAAAUAAAUAAAAGUGAUUGACAAUAAUAAUAAAAAAUAAAAAUAAAUAAAUAAAUGAAAUAAAUGAGUCAUGCAACCAAACAAGUCACGCUAAAAUGUCUAAUAGGUCAAGCGUGCCUAAAUAGGCUUAAAAGUGUCUAAAGGGGCUUAAGUGAAACUAGACAGGCCUAAGGUGUCUAAAUGGGUUUAAGGUAGUGCCUAAUGGGCCGGAUAUACCUAUAUGGGCCUAGGGUGAGACUAGGUGGGCCUAACUAAGUCUAACCUAAAGUGCACCUAAGUGAAGCCUAAUCUAAACUUGAAAGGCAGCUAAGGUCAUAAUGUGGAACCAGAUAAACCCUUUAACCAAAUUCUUCAAAGUGGUUCAGAAAAUGUAAGCUGCACGAGUAGUAAUGGGCCACCAAGAAAUUGUUGUAAAGUACCGAACAAACACGUAAAAGGACAUGUGCUAAGAGGACAAAAUGGAGGUUUUACAAAAUCAUUAAUAUUGUAAUGUAUGUCCAAACUUACAUUAAAAGAGAAAUGUAGGACUACUAAAUCCAUAUUAGCAAUUUAUUUAUUCAAGUCAUAUAAUUUUGAAAUUUAAAGUAAUUGUGAGUAUGGAUAACCCAUAAUAAAUCCAACAAAGAAAAAUUUAAAGUCAUCAUUAUAAACAAAGUAGGAGAACGUUAGAACCAUAAGUGGUUUAAUGACCACAUUAAGUUUUCUUAUAAAAAAAAGAAUCUUAAAAUGUUUGGAUUUAUUUUCUCAUGUAUGAAUUUUGACAAAAUUAAAUUAGUUCAUUUUGAAAUUCAUAAUACUUAUUAAGUUCAUGUUCCAAUUGUUAUUAUUAUCAAUUAAAAAAUGUUCAAAGUAUUUAACUAGUGGUUUAUUGAUGGAUAGAACCAUAAUGCACCUAUAAAUAGAAGAGCUCUUAAUCCCUUUCUCCACUCUUACAAUUUUUUUUAAGGAUUUAGUGGACUUAUAAUAAUGGUUGCAAGCUUGCAUUUAGUGGAAAAGCAGCAAAAAGAAGCAAAAAAAGAAGUGGUUAUAGAUUCAUGUCUUCAAAUGGUUACAACACCUAAAAGCCUAUCCAACUCUCAAAUUCAAAUCUAAAACAGCUUCAAAGUUGCUGGUGGGGCCAGAACUUUUCACAUGUGCAAGUAGCAUUUGUGGAAUAACUAGCUUGGGGUUGUAAGUUAGCAUGAGAUUGUGAACCAUUAGAUUUUGAAGAAGCCGUGUAAGAGUAAAAAUGAAAGAUGCUAUGGAUGAGGAAAUAAGACAAUAAUAUUGAAGUAAAAUCUCUUUCAAAAGAGAAAGACAUUUGAAGACAGACAGAUAUACAAAACAAAGAAGAAAACAAAAGGAGAAGUAGACAAAUAUAAAACCUCCCAAAUUUGCAGAUUUUAGAAGAUUAAGAUCAGAACUUUUCAUAUAUGCAAGUAGCAUUUGUGGAAUAACCAGCUUGGGGUUGUAAGUCAGCAUGAGAUUAUGAACCAUUAGAUUUUGAAGAAGCUGUGUAAGAUUAAAAAUGAAAGAUGCUAUGAGGAAAUAAAAAAUAAUAAUAUUGAAGCAAAAUCUCUUUUGAAGGGGAAAGAGAUUUGAAGUAAAACAAAUAUACAAAACAAAGAAGAAAACAAAAAGAAAAGUAGAUAGAUACAAAACCUCCCAAAUUGGAAGAUUUUAGAAGAUUAAGAACACUACUUGAAGUUACAAAUUAAGUUUAAGAGAGUAUGUUAGAAAAUAAAUUUGAGUAGAUAAAAAAGUUUCCAAUAAAAAAAAUAAUUUGAUUUAAUUAGUUUCUAAAAGUCAAUAGAAAUAUUUUAGUUUGAGUAAUUCAGUCACAUUUUAUUACUUGGAGUUUUUAUUUUGUUAAAUACGAGUAUGUAUAGAAAGAUGAUGGAAGAUAAUAAUUUGUUCUUAAUCUUUCUCAAUUAUUCAUCUCUUUUUGUAAAUGUUUGUGCAUUUUUUCAACCCUAUUACUUCAACAAUAACGUGCUACUUAAUCUUCGAAUUAAGUACACACCAUAUGUUAUUCUCUUGAGAUUUGAUGAAUGAAAUAAGGAGAGAAUGAAAUAAAGGUACACCCCUUGAAGCUAGCUUUCAGCUGCUCCACAGAGGGCUCAGCAUGAAGCUGUGAGAUCAGCCAUCAAAAGAAAUAAUAGCACACCCCAAAAAUCCAUGGCCAAGUUGGAAACGGUGCCAAAGAAGAAGCUGCUUGUUCCGGAUUCCCACGGCAUGUCAUGAGAAUGGGACAGGGAAAGCUGGUGGCCAAACCUACCAGAAGGAGAAAAAGGGUGCCCCAAUUCUCACAGUAGAGGCGAAUAAGCCAAUUUGACCUUGUUGGCUUUUGCUUCCACAGCUGCCCUCACCUUCCAUUGCGAAAAUGCUAGGUUGGAGAUUUUUUUUGUCCAUUUGUUCCAUCAAUAGCUUGAUUGGAGAAGCAAUCAGUGAUGGUUCUUGAAGUUUUUAGACCCUCCCCGCUUAAAACUUCUUCAAUUCCCUUUCAAAUGUUAGGUGUUAAACUCCCGUUUCCAAAUGUUAAGUUUAAGAGAGUAUGUUAGAAAAUAAAAUUGAGUAGAUAAAAAAGUUUCCAAUAAAAAAAAUAAUUUGAUUUAAUUAGUUUCUAAAAGUCAAUAGAAAUAUUUUAGUUUGAGUAAUUCAGUCACAUUUUAUUACUUGGAGUUUUUAUUUUGUUAAAUACGAGUAUGUAUAGAAAGAUGAUGGAAGAUAAUAAUUUGUUCUUAAUCUUUCUCAAUUAUUCAUCUCUUUUUGUAAAUGUUUGUGCAUUUUUUCAACCCUAUUACUUCAACAAUAAUGUGCUACUUAAUCUUCGAAACAAAUAUAAAAAAGAUGGUUAGUUAUGGUUAUGAUGGUUUUUGCCCUUCUCAUUAAAUUUGAUAGAUGAUUAAAAAAAAAAACUCUUCAUCAGUUAAUCCUAUUUACGAGCAGAAAUUAUAUGGAAUUUGAAAGUAAAAAAAUAUAUAGUUAAGCUUCCAUUGUUGAUAAUCUUGUCGUAUGAAAUUUAAUUACAAAGUCCCAUUGGAGGAUAUAUUAAACUUGUUCAACAUCAGUGUCUGAUUUUUGGUUUGAAAUAGACUUUCUGUUAAGGGUCAUCGUUGAAUGGUGGUUGUAGAGUUGAUCCAUUAUUGACUUGGUAAGUUGAGUACUCCACUUGUGAUGUGGAGUCACCAUAUCACAAACACUACAACCCCACCAUGAUCUUUUCCUUCUUUUGUUUUUUCUCUCCAUGUGAUUCUGCAAGAAAAACUUUCCCUACUUUAAGUUCAACCAGCUUAACCAUCGUAGAGAUGCCUUGUCUUUUUUACUUUGUCCAGAAAAUUACACUUUUCUAUUAAAUUUUGUGGUAAAAAAUCGCACUAACAUCACAUCACAUCACAGCAGCCCUUCUGUUUCUGUGUUGUACGUUACUGGAAAGUGGUUGAUGAUUUUCCCACAUACAUUGAAUUCUCUGUCAUGUAGGGGUUGCAAACUUAAUUAAGCUAAGUCUUAACUUUCUACAAUAAUAUUCCAUUAGAUCGACAAUUAUACAAUAAUGGUCCUUAUCAAGUGAGUUAAAGAAUUAAUAAAUUAAAGUGACACUUGAUAAAACUAAAAACUUAGGCUAUGUUUAAUUUUUAGAAAAAAAAUUAGGAAAAAAAAAAAGGAAAAUAAUUUUUUUGGGAUUGGUUUUGCGUCAAACAUAUGAAAGAAAAUUAAAUAUAAUUAAAAUUAUUAAAAAAAUGUAUGAUUUUAAAUUAUAUAAUCUUUAUAUAAAAAAGUCAAAUUAGUAAAAUAAGCUUUAAAUAGCACAUAAAAACUAUAUAUCAAAUUUAAAUCUAAUUUUUAUUUUCUUUCAUUUUUUUUCUUUUAAUUUUAUUUCCUUUGCAUUUUCUUUCGAACCUUCCAAAAACCAAACAUAGUCUUAAUAGUUAAUUGUGUAAAAUGAUUUAAUACGAGUUUUACUAAAUUUCAUGAGUUGAAACUUAUUAUUAAAUUUUUACUUUAAAUGUUAAAAUUGCUUAAUAAAUUAAAUUAUAAACUUUUGAAACUUCUAUAUUCAACAUAUUCUCUUAUAUUAAGCAAAGGGCUUAAGAGAAACAAGAAAGCAAGAUGCAAUUGUGAUAGAAAAUUAAUGAGAAAUUGAAAUAGAGUUAAUUUUAGGAAUAAUUGUGCUUGAGGGGUGGUUGAGAUUGAUAAUUGACCCGAAGGACGUCAUGUAAAGAGUGAUGUUAACAACAUCUGCCUAAUUGGUAUUAUACAAACUACAAAUCCUUCAAAGCAAUUAUUUCACUAUGUUUUUUGUGCCCAAUAUAUAUAUAUUUGAUAGAGACAAAUUAUUAGGUCUCAUAGGUUCAAAACAUAAUUGUCUCUUAAAAUUCAACCGCCCAAGAUACUAUCUUGAAUUCCAUAAAGAUGAUCUUUUUAAUUUAUUAGUUGAAAAGGACUAUCUUGAAUUCAGUAAAGGCGAUAUUUUUAAUCUAUUACUUUAAAUGUCCAUUUCAACUAGAGUACUAUGAUAAAAACACUUUUAACCUAUAAUGUUUUUCUUAGUAACACUUUAAUUAGAAAUACUUACACUAAGACGUGAUGUUUGGAUAUAAAGAAAAAUUAUUUUUAUAGUAAUUUGGUAAUAUGUUAUGUAAGGAACAUUUGAAAGAAAGAAAAAAAAACCUCAUGUGAGGACUAAUUCAAGGAUGGGUUCAAGUGAUUUUCUCAAGUUUUUUAGUGUAAUUUUUAAAACUUUACCAAUAAUUUUAUUUUGUCAGAUAUAACACAUUUAUAAUGUAGAAAUACAGUCCUGAUCAUGGUUUUAAAAAUCGGACCGAACUGGCCUAUCUGACCUCUAGCCGGUCACGAUUCAAGUCCAGUCCGACCAAUUAAAUCGAAAAGUGAUCGAACUGAAAUUGUACCGCUUGAACCGGCGGUCCGAUUGGCGAACCAGACAAACCGACCGGUUCCCUCUGAACCGUCUGGUUCAACCAUUUUUUAUUUUUUUAGUUAUUCUCAUCCCCCUCCCCCACCUAGAGCAUCGUCCACCGACAAUGGUACCUCCACUGUCGCCUGUAUCAUCGUCCCAUCGACAGCAUAUCCCCAACAUUAGAAACCCCACUCCUUGCGUCGCACGAUCGAAAGCCCCCCACCGUGUGCUGGAAAUCCCCCCCACCCAGCACCGCGCGCUGGAAACCUCCCAACCCCACCCCAAAAUGGCUGCAAAUCCCCAUCGUCGGCCCCCGCUUGUAAAGCCCCAUCGCUCCCCACCAUCCCCCACCCCUGACAACAUGUUGAAAAGCUCCCACAAUUGAAAAAUGUAGUUGUUCAAGCCACCUUUGACAAAAAAAAUCCGUACUUGGCUGAAGUAAUGAAGUCCAACUCCCUAUCAAAGUGUUUUGAGGCAGGUUAUGUGUGAUUGGUGGAUGAAUCUUUAGCUGAAGAAGAAAGAUGGAAGACUUGGAAGUGUUCCAAAAAAGUUAGAUGAUGCGUUGGAAACGGGAAACCUCCCAAAUUUUAAUGUUUUAUAUUUAAUUUCUUAAAUUUUUUUAUUGAUUAUAAUUGUAGUGGUAUGUUUAAUAUUUAUUUUUUUGUUUUUGUUUUAUUUAUUACACAUUGAAAUUUUAAUUGAUUGAAAUUAUUGAAAAUGUUAGGUGAUUGACAUCUACAUGUAAAAAAUUUUGUGAAAAAACUUAACAAAUAUAGUAGAUAUUAUCAAAAUUUAGAUAGAAUUUAUUAUUUUUAUUUAUUAUUAUUUUUUUAAUUUUAAUAAUAUAUAAAAUAUAUAUUUAUGACGUCACUGGUUCGACCGCUGGUCCGACCAGUGAAUCGUGAACCGAUGACUUUUUCGAUUCAAUGACCGGUCCAAUUAUGAAAACAUUGGUCCUAAUACUUGUCCAAUCAUAAAAAUGAAAGGGAAACACUAUUGUAGGGUUGCUUCCAAGGAGUGGCUGUUAUGAAAGGAGGGAUAAAUCCAAGCAUCCAUUAACACCUCCACAAACUAGAGUCCCAUAUAUCUGUCUAAUAAGACAACUCUUAAGGUAUCCUCCUCCAUUUUCCAAUGGCCAAAUCAAUCCCCUCUCCUCUCUAUGAAAAAAUCCCCCAGAAAAACACACUCCAUAGAGCCUUGGACCUCACCAUCUUCUUCCUUCUCCUCUCUCUCCUUGCUUAUCGUCUCCUCUCCCUCAAAAACAAUGGCCUCACUUGGCUCGUCGCCUUCCUCUGUGAGUCAUGGUUCACCUUUCUUUGGGUUCUUAACUUGAGCUCCAAAUGGAAUCCUGUGUCCUACAAAACAUACCCUGAACGCCUUCUACAGUGUCAUCGGUAUCCAAUUAUAUCUUCUCUUAGUAAAACUCUUCACGUGCUUUGGCGUUUUUUUAUGCCUUCAAUUUUUAUAUAUAACUAUACUCAUGAUUUUCUGAACAGGGUUGAUGAGCUUCCUCCAGUGGACAUGUUUGUGACAACUGCAGAUCCCAUCCUGGAACCUCCUAUCAUCACUGUAAACACUGUCCUCUCCCUGCUGGCGGUUGACUAUCCAGCUAACAAGCUUUCUUGCUAUGUGUCCGAUGAUGGGGCUUCCCCUCUCACCUUUUACGCUCUCCUUGAAGCAUCCAAGUUUGCCAAGCUUUGGGUUCCUUUCUGUAAGAAGUAUGGUAUUCAAACUAGAGCUCCCUUUAGAUACUUUUCCAGCGAGUUGGUCUCAUCCCAUGAUAAUUCAAUGGACUUCCUAAAAGAAUAUAGAAAAAUUAAGGUACGCUCACUAUUCCUAGUUGGAACUAUAAGAGGAGAUUAAUCAUAUUAAUAUUUCCUCUCUAUCAUUGUACAGUGAUGCUUUGAUAAAAGCUUUUACAGAUAUCUGCCUUACGCUUAAGCAAUUUUGUUUCUCUUCAUCUCUUUUAGGAAGGAUACCAAGAGCUUGGACGAAAAAUUGAAGAUGCAGCCCUAAAGUCAAUGCCGUAUGAGCUUAGUACUGCAGAGUUUGUUGCUUUCUCAAAUGUAGAAAGGAGAAACCAUCCGACCAUAAUCAAGGUAUGUUUAUAUAUAUACACCAUCAUUAAUUCUAUAUCAAAACAAGCAACCACUUAGAGCAAAUCAUAAGAGAUUAAAGUGACUGUAUAGUUUGAAACUAAUUGUUUUGGGUUUUUCUCUAUCAUUGAAAAGUAACUUCUUUGGAAUUAAUAAAAAAUAGUCAUAUUACAAAAAGGUUUCAUCUAUUUGUACUUUAUGUGUGUCAUUUCUUUGUACUUAUUAUCAUUUUACUGUAAAAUAAUAUUUCAUUCAGUGAUGUAGAUUUAGUUGCAUGCAUCAAAGGUUGGUUGAGAUUAAAAGUUCAGUAUACUAAAUCGAAUAAGCUUGGCAUGAACUCAUCUUAAGGCGAAAUAGCAUUAAAUUUUUUCAAAAGCAUAAGGAUUUAAAUAUUUUCCCCGUGGAUUAGUAUUUAAAGAACAGAAAAAUGCAUCCAAUUUAAAAGAUAUUACUUUUUGGCUAACAUUGAGAGAGCGAGUGGUGGUAAAGGACGUAUUUGACAAUAUUUCUAUAACAAUGAAUGGUGAUUUUUGUAGGUUAUAUUGGAGAACAAGGAGAGCAGCUCUGAUGGGUUGCCACAUCUAGUCUAUGUAUCCAGAGAGAAGCAUCCCAAGCAUCCACACCAUUACAAAGCCGGUGCCAUGAAUGUUCUGGUAAGGAAGCCCCUUGAAUUGGUAUAAUUACUGAUAUUCCUUCUUUUCCCCUAAUUGUUUCAUGAUAAACAGACCAGAGUCUCUGGAGCUAUGACAAAUGCUCCUUUCAUGCUGAACGUAGACUGUGAUAUGUACGCCAACAAUCCACAGAUUUUUCAUCAUGCAAUGUGUUUGCUCCUCGGUUCCAAGAGUGAACAGGACUGCGGGUUUGUUCAGUCUCCACAAAUGUUCUAUGAUGUAGUAAAGGACGACCCACUUGGAAAUCAGAUGGUAGUUUUGUUUAAGGUAUGCCAAAUUUCAAUAGUGAAGAGCGAUCUCUUCCAUACUAUAGAGCACACCUAGUAGAAGCCUCUUUCAUUUUUCUUAUUAAUUAAUGUGUUUUUCUGAAUUAGUAUGUGGGAAGUGGGAUAGCAGGGCUUCAAGGACCUCUGUAUUCUGGAACGGGAUGUUUUCAUCGAAGAAAAGUUAUCUAUGGGUCAUGGCCGGAUGGCAGGAUGGAGAUUAAAGGAAGAAAUGGUAUGCAGUCAACUUUUCCACGGUCAUUCUUCACUUUAUUUAUGUACCAUUUUAAUUUUCUUAGUGGGAUCUUAAAAUGUGCUAUGAAACUAAGCAUUACAGUUUUCUCUACUUUUUGGUAGGAAAAUUAACCGAUGAGAGAUUAGAAAAAACAUUCGGAAAUUCAAAGGAAUUCACAAAAACAGCUGCAAGGAUUUUAUCAGGGUUGAGCGGGAUUUCGGAUUGUCCAUAUGAUCUUUCGAAUCGGGUUGAGGCAGCAUACCAAAUUGCAAGUUGCAGCUAUGAGUAUGGAACUAGCUGGGGCACAAAGGUGAGUUGCCAAUAGUUAGAACAAGAAGAAUAGUAUCUCAAAUGAUACAUUUAGUUCAACCAUUUUUCAUUAAAUAAGGAUCUAUUUUUAUUUUUUAUUUUUGAAAAGAAACUUAACUAGAAGUUACAUGCAUUAUGUGACUAUCCAUGUUCAGAUUGGUUGGUUAUAUGGAACCACAACAGAAGACAUCCUCACAGGUAUGAGGAUACAUGCAAGAGGUUGGAAAUCCACAGAUUGCCGGCCUGACCCUCCUGCAUUUCUUGGGUGCGCACCCUCAGACGGGCCUGCUGCACUUACCCAACAGAAGAGAUGGGCCACUGGCCUCCUUGAGGUCCUGUUCAGCAAGAACAGCCCACCCAUUGCCACCUUCACUGCAAAGCUUCAAUUUCGCCAAUGCCUCGCAUACAUGUGGAUUAUUUCAUGGGGUUUAAGGCCAAUUCCGGAGCUUUGUUAUCUUGCUUUGCCAGCAUAUUGCAUCAUGGCCGGCUCACAUUUCUUGCCCAA
rnacentral:lncRNA from 1 species